UCUGAAUGAAUAUUUGAAAGAUAUAGUAAAAUACAAAGAAAAUAAAAUUCAAGCAUGAAUCCCACAUACAUGUAUUGCAGUGUAUAGUUCACAUAAAAACAAAAAACACAAAACAAUCCUCUGACAGAUUGUAUUUUCCCAAAAUGGCACAGCAAUAUUUCUGUUCUUACAUUCUCCUCUAGAACCUUGCCACUUCCCAUCUGGAGAUAGAAUCUCUUUCCCCUUUAUUUGAACAUAGGUGGGACUUGUGACUCCUCAACCAAUAGGAAAUAGUGGAAUGGAUGCAGUGUGCCUUCUGAGGUUGGGUCAUACAUGGUGACAUAGUUCCUUCUGGCUGCCUCUCAGGAUGUUCACCCUUGCAUUCAGCCACCAUGUGGAGAAGAAGCUCCAAGAGACCAUGGGGAGAAGCCUCUUGGAGAGGCCUGCCUGGAGGAGAAUUAAGAUCCCCAAUCAGUGUAAGCCACCAAAAGUAAUUCAGACUGUGAAGUAAAAUAACUGGUUAAACAAGGCACAAAUUCCUGCUCAACCCCUUCUUCAACCAUGGAAGACGUUGAUGAUUAAACACAUCGUUGAACAUCACACUGGUGCUCCUAUUGCCUCUUAAUAGCAAGGUGUGGGCAGUUAUCAAUCAGAGAUGGCAUGCAAAUCACAACCAUUUCUCAAUCCUAACUUCGGAAAAAAAUCUUUAAUUCUUUUAGCAUUAUAUUAAAGCCUUUUGUCAUCUGUCCCCAAACUAACUUUCCAGUCUUAUGUUCUAUCAGACUCCCCCUCGAAACCCACAUACUAAAAUUAAGACAUAGCUACAUGUUUAGAGAUUGUCAAAUAAUUACUGUCUAGCAAUCUUCUAAUUUAGAACCUUUUUUUUUUUUUGAAACAUCAUCUAUGUUU
rnacentral:lncRNA from 1 species